rnacentral:lncRNA from 1 species
CAUCCAUCAUAUAACAUUGCCUUGCGCAAAUCCAAGUCUUAGAUCACAAACUCAAUGCAAACAAAUCCCUUCAAAGUUCGGACAGCACUUCCCCUGAAUUUGCUAACUUUUCCAGCCAUCAUGGCUUCAUUAUUUCCUCAGCCAGUCCCAAAGUCACACGAAAUAUAAAUUCUUCACAACGGCCGUUCAAUAGGCUCCCAAUAGUACAAGUACAAUUCAAGCUCUAAAAUAUUCCAACAAGCACAAUAAGACUCGAUUACAAGUCAUAAAUCAAUUCCAAAUACCACCAAAAUAGGGCUCCAUAAGAAUGUAUAAGCACUAGUAAACCAGGAAAAAUCCGGAAAUGAUUUAGCUUUAACCCUGAAAAAAACAGUUUUUGACGUCAUUUUGCGGUAAUGGCACCAAAGGCGCUACGAUUAUCGGAUGAAGGUGAAAGAUACACCGUUUCGAAGCUAAGAGAUAGGGUUACAAUAUUGCAGAAGGUUACUCAACCCAGUUUCGAGUGUAACCAGGUAAAAAAUGCAAGAUACUACACCAGAACCGCAAAAACAGAUUCGCAGAACGCAUUCUAGCGGAAACAUCAUCAAUCAGGCUACCUAAGUCCAAAUCCAGAAAUUCCAAAACCAGCUGAAAUUUAAUAAACAGAGAUACAUUUCAUCAGAAGACCUCAACAACCAAUUCGGAAGCAAUUCCAGCCAAAACAACCAAUUACAGGCGCAAUUCUUACAUUCGGGUAAAACCAGGACAGCAAGGGUAAUUUCUACUUUUCUCAUUCUACGCUACUCCGAUUGACCUGAAAUUUUUUAUACACCUCUAAAAUGUCAUUCCCUAAAACUUUCAUGUUUUAUGCCAAGGCCAAUUCAGCCUCUAACUAGGAGCUAUAAAUUCGGGCAGAAUGUAUUCAUCAUAACCCUAACUUUCCAAAAUUUCUUCCAAAACAGAAAUUGGUUGCAAUUAACCACUUUUCCCACCUCCUAGAGUCAUUAUAUACCAUUUCCAAUCAUCAUAGAUAGCCACACAAUCAUGUUCAUAUUAAAACAGAAAAAUCCCCAAAAAUAAUAAAACUUCAUCACUUCAACCACAAAUCAAGAAAUAAUCCAUAAACUUGCAUCUCAUACUACCACUAAUCAUGAUUUAAGCAUCAAUUAAGGGAGGAGGGUGGUUCUUCACAACUCACCUUAGAAACAAGAGAGAGGGGGCAAUAGGUCCUCUUAGCUUUCCAAAUAACUCCACAAAUCAACUCACAAAUACUAAGUGAAGAGGUUUUAUGGAGAGAUUGCAAGAUUAAAUGGUUAGAUUGUUGAACUUGAGCAAGAUUGAAGCCAGAAAUUGAAGAGUUUUCUUUCUUUUCUUGCCUUGAAGAAGUCGGCCAAGAGGAAGACAAAAAUGAGAAAUUUUGGUGAAUUUUUAGUUAUUUAAGUCAAUUGGUAAGACAUGGAAUAGUAGUCAAAUGGUCCACCCAAUAGCCAAGUGACACUUGUCACUUAAUUUAAUGCUUGCCUAACUUUUGUCUCUCUCAUACCAAUCCACUUAGCAUCCUCUACUUAUCUCUUAACACCCGAUAAAUUAAUUCCAGUAUCCAAAACUUAAUCUAGUUGGCCGAAUUUUUCCGAACUUUUCGCACUAGUGGGUCCCACGUCCGGUAUAUGCUCUUAAUUUCUCAAAAACUAUCCGAUACUAGAAAAAUCAUCCAAAAACUAUAUUUACUCAUGAAAAUUAUUUUCCCAAUUUCUCACAUCAAUAAAAUGUGGAAAAACGUGCAAUUAUAAAAAAAAUAAAACCGAGUACUUUAAAACAAAAUUACAGGCUCUCACACUUAUACUUUUCGGGGCGUCACAGUUCCUACAUGACCUGAUCAAUUCGAUCAGGCACUCGCCAUCUAUUUUCAUUGUUCAAAUCUUUGACAACAUGAAAAAACAUUGUUCAACUCUUUGACAACAUGAAAAAACCAUAAGCUCCGCCCUCCCUCUCUAUCUAAGGGAUGGAAGGGCAGAGGCCUUUGGUGUCCCCCCUAGUCAAGAAUUGGGACCUCAUAAUCACUAGCCAAUAUACUUUUCUCUCAUGCCUUUCUUCAUUUAGGAUUCGAUAUUCUGGUGUCCUAGGCGUAGAGGAACCACACCAAUCCAUCCCGAACUUGGUGGUUAAACUCUACUGCGGUGACGAUACUGUAGGGGAGGUCUUGCGAAAAAAUAGCUCGACGCCAAUCCAAAAUUUAUUUAUUUGAAUUUGAAUAUUUUAUUUCCUAUAUAAAAUAAACAUAGAAAUCCAAUCACUAGAAUUUUUUUAGUAACUAAUAAAAUAGGGAGUUUGAGUAUUGAAAAAAAUUCUUUUUUGUUUUGUGGAAAUUCGGGGGUAAUAUGUCACUAUACAUGAAUAUAAUAUGAUGGAACCCCUCUUCAUUAUAAAUAUCAUGAUAAAGAGUACUUUCUCCUAUGUCGUGUCAAAUUCGCAUCGAAAAAAAAAAGAAAUAUUUGUUUUAUUCUAUAAAUCUUUUUUUCGUAAAAUCUCAUCUAAUAACUAACUAAUAAUAAGUAAUAACUUAAGGUUUUAUUCCAUCAAUAGGGAACGGAAAGGAAAAUAUACGGGAUAGGUAUAAAACGGCUUGCUUGGGGGAAACUGCAGAAUAUAAAAGAAUAUGCCAACCCUAAGGAUCCAGAGGAUUAAUUGUGGAUCCAAGACAGUAAUAAAAAGAUUUGAUUCUUAGAUUUUUUAUUUAAUUUAAAAUAUUCUUUAUCUAGAUAAGUAUGUAUUUAUCUAAAAUAGAUGCAAUAGAAUCUUUGUAUUCAGCUCAAUCUUUUAAUAAAAGAUUGGGCCGAGUUUAAUUGAAAUUUAACUAAGGGAAAAAAGGUAAUUACAAAUCUUUCUCUUUAUCCAAUUUAUCCAUCGCUUCAAAAUUAAAUCGGAUUUCCUUCCAUACCUCACAAGCAGCAGCUAGUUCAGGACUCCAUUUACUAGCCUCGCGGAUAAUUUCAUUACCCUUAGCAGCAAGAUCACGCCCUUCAUUACGAGCUUUUACACAUGCUUCUAGAGCUACUCGAUUCGCUACAGCACCUGGUUCAUUACCCCAAGGGUGUCCUAAAGUUCCUCCACCGAACUGUAAUACAGAAUCAUCCCCAAAAAUCUCGGUCAGAGCUGGCAUAUGCCAAACGUGAAUACUGUGAGAACCCGUAAUUCUCCCAUUUUCUAGGUUCUAGAAUCUUUCAUGACUUGUUUUCUGCAUUUUCGUGCUUAGGAAAAUUUCUAGAUAAUUUUAAGGAGCAGAUAUAAAUUUUUAGAUGAUUUUUCUAGUAUCGAAUAGUUUUUGAGAAAUUAAAAGCGUAUACCGGCCAACUAGGUUAAGUUUUGAAUACUGGAAUUAAUUUACCGGGUGUUAAGAGAUAAGUAGAGGGUGCUAAGUGGAUUGGUAUAAGAGAGACAAGUUAGGUAAGUAUUUAAUAAAAGGUGACAAGUGUCACCAUUUGAGUGGGUUUACUUUAGGAAAACUAUUCAUGGUCUUACCAUUUGACUUAAAUAAACCAAAAAUGACCAAAAAUCAUCAAAAAUCCUCCAUAAGUGGCCGGCUCUCUCUUUCUCUCUUUCUGUCUCUCUUUCUCUAAGCACAAGGAAGAAAACUCUUCAAGCUUGCUUCAAAUCAUCAAAACCAACCAUUGAAACUUGCAAUUUCUCCAUAAAACCUCUUCAAUUAGUGUUAGUGAGUUGAUUUGUGGAGUUAUUUGGGAAGCUAGGAGGACCUAUUGCUCUCUCUCUCUUGUUUCUAAGGUGAGUUGUGAAGAACCACCCUCCUCCCUUAAUUGAUGCUUAAAUCAUGAUUAGUGGUAGUAUGAGAUGCAAUAUUAUGGAUUAUUUCUUGAUUUAGCCCUGUUUCUUAGCUUUCAGCUGGUUUUGAAAUUUCUGGAUUUGGACUUGGAUAGCCUGAUUUAUGAUGUUUCCGCUAGAAUGCGUUCUGUGAAUCUGUUUUUGUGAUUCUGGUGUAGUAUUUUGCAUUUUUGACCUGGUUACACUCGAAACUGGGUUGAGUGACCUUCUGUAAUAUUGUAGCCCUAUCUCUUAGCUUCGAAACGGUGGGUCUUACACCUUCAUCUGAUAAUCGUAGUACCUUGGGUACCAUUACCGCAAAAAGAGGUCAAAAACUGUUUUUUUCAGGGCAAAGCUAAUUCUAUUUCCGGAUUUUCUGGUUUCCUCUAUUGCUUGUGUAUGUUUAGGGAACCCUGUUUUGGUGGUAUGUAGAAUUGGUUUAUGACUUGUAAUCGAGUCUUAUUGUGUUUAUUUGAAUAGUUUAGGGCUUGACUUUCAUAUCCGGUCAUUUCCUAGCUAAAUUUUGUACUUGAAUGCCAUUAAGCCUAGUGAACGGCUUUUGGGAAUGAGAUUAUUUUUGUACGAACUGUUGGGACUGAUUUGAGGAAAUAAUGAAGCCAUGAUGGCUGGAAAAUAGGUAAACACAAGGGAUAUGUGCGAAAUUUUUCUUGAAGGCUAGUUGGAUUUACUUGUGAUUUGAACGAAGGGCUUUUGGGUUGUUUGAGCCUAGGUCUUCAUGUUACCUUUUCAUUACCAAAAUCAUGUUUUGCACCCUUGCUUAGUAAUUAUUUGGCGAGGCAUACGACUGGUAGUCGAGCCUCACAUGUGCAUUUUGUAUACUUGAUUUUGAAAGUGGAACCUUCAAUUGUUUUCCUUGGAUUAUUUUAGGGUUUCUUGGUAAUUAAAAGCUCUCUUUUGGGAGGUAUCUGCACUGACCCUGGUGAGUGUACUACUCACUUGUGUGUUACUAUAUGGCUUUGAUACUUGAACUUGAUGAGUUAAAUGUUUAUUGUAUCAUUGAUAUUGAUUGAAGUGAGGGUGUACUUUAUCACUCUCACCUAUUUCUCAUGUUAUUGGAAUGUUACAAGAAAUGUUACAUGAAAUGAAAGUACUUGACUUGGGGCGUUUGGACGAGUAUCCAACGACCAUGCUUGUUACCAUUGAGCUCAACCCCAUUGGUAAUUGAUUGAAUCGAGCCGGCAAGGCUUGGUCGUGACAAUUAAUGAGCCUUGGGUAAAGUUAUAAGGAAUCUUGUAGUAUGAGAGACUCUCGAUUCCGGUAUACUCGAGUAAUACCACAGUGCAAGUGUUUGGAGUUCGGGCCCGGUAGGGGGAUGUUAGGUGGAAGGAGUGGGAGUUAAGUGAAGUCUACAGUUGGUUACUUUUAAACAUUGACGGAGAGUCAAUGCGAAGAUGAUCUGAUCAAGAAUGCAAACGAGGAAAAAGGGCUCUUGAGAGCCGUCCGUAUCCUUUUAUCAUCAUUAUUGAUGUGUGUUUUAUUUACCUUUGAUGACUUGGAAUGAAAAGCUUGAUGCCUAUAUGAACUUGGUUGCUUGAGUAGUAUUAUCUCACUGGGCAACUAGCUCACCCCGUUCCUUUUGUUUUCCUUACAGGAAUCUGAGUGCUUAUGGAAUGACUUUUGAUAAUUGGUUGCCGAAUGAACUAGAUGAAUAUCUCUUUGUAUAGUUUAUGAAUUGAAACCCUAAAUGUGCCAUUGGGGCCGUUUUCACUUUCAUUUUGGCAACCGUACAUGUAUUACUUUGGAGUAAUUUGCAUGUGCCAUUUUGGCUUGUAAACGCUAAAUUUCAUGAUGUGAAUGUUUGCUUGAUAUUUGGCUGGGCUGACGGGUCAGGUACUAUUCAUGGCCGACUCCGGAUUUCAUUUUUUUAUUUUGGGUUAUUUUGCCAGUUUGACUUGUUUACGUGCGUUAUAAAUUCCGGAACGCGAUAGACCGCUCUAAACUGCACCGUUAGUCCUGGCGAGAGCUGGGCGGGCAGUCCGCUAACCCCUUUGGUUCGCCUUAGGGGAAGGUGGGGCUGUCACAGGUGGUAUCAGAGCCACUUCGCGUGGUCUCUGCGCGGAGUGAGCCUAGGGCCAAGUGGUGUUAUGGUCCUGCUUUUGGUGAAGGUGUCUAAAAGGGUUAAGUGCUCUUUUGAGCAUAAGUUAUGAACGGGGCAUGUUAUAAGUGUAAAACUCUUUAUCAUGAAACUUGAGGACGACAGAUAAGUAUGUCGGGUAGGAAUCUUUAAUAUGGAUGAUUUACGCUUGGGACCGGCCGGCUCGAGUUGUGAAUUAUCUUAAAUGGGAUUCUUGCGCCCGGAUACGAAAGAGAUGAGAGUUUAGGUUAGAAAGAAUUGGGCGAACUAGAAAUUGCGAUUCUAUGGAUGACUUUGUAUGUACCUGACUGACUGUUCCGUAUACUUGUUGAUCCGGUUAUGUGUUCUCUGUAUAUGUGUUAUGUGUUUAAAUGCUCUACGAGGGAGUAGAGUAGUUAAUUGUUCUUGUUUACUUGUUCCUGUUUUGUGCUGCGAAAAAGAGGGGUUAGGUGCCCUUUAACAGUCUAUUUAUUUUGUGACCUAGAUCGACUUAGAUUGUAUGGAAGGCACACGUAGUGGAUGGGGGCGUGGGCGCGGGAAUAGGCAACCUACGCCAGACCGGGGUGCUGGGGAAACCUCCUCUGGACCCCAUCCUGAACCGAGAGUUGACCCCGAUGUACAGAUAGCUGCCGCUAUGCAGCAAAUGACAAACCUGCUGGCACAAGUGGUGCAGCAACAAGGCCAGAAUCCAAACCAUAAUCCGGGAAACCCUGUAAACCCUGGCAAUCAUGUUGAGAGCGAAGACAGAGCUCUUGAACGAUUUCAAAAGUUUGCUCCACCCAAGUUUAUUGGGGGGCCAGAUCCGGAUGUUGCCGAGAGAUGGCUCGAAAAGAUGGUCGAUAUUUUCGCUGCCCUGCACUAUACCGAAGAACGGCAGGUGACUUUUGCCGUUUUCCAGCUGGAAGAGGCGGCCCGCUCCUGGUGGAAUGUCAUUCGACAAAAAUGGGAGCGGGAACAAAUGCCCAGGACUUGGGUAAAUUUUAUGAGAGAGUUUAACGCGAAAUUCUUCCCUCCUCUGGUUCAGGAGAGGAAGGAAGAUGAGUUCAUCCGACUCCGCCAAGGAGCUCAAUCGGUGGCGGAAUACGAGAGCCAGUUCACCCGCCUGUCCAAAUUUGCGCCUGAGUUGAUUGUGACAGAGCAACGGCGAAUUAGGCGUUUUAUCCAGGGCCUAAACGUGGAGAUUCAGAAGGACCUCGCAGUGGCUCAAAUCAAUGCUUUUAGCGAGGCCGUUGAGAAGGCCCAACGGGUAGAGAGUGCCAGAUUGCAAGUAAGAAACUUCCAGGCGAAAAAGCGAGGAUUUCCUGGAAGUAGUUCGGGGCAGGGGAAUGAGAGUACCCCUUCCAAGUUUGGGCGAGAAACUGGAGAAGAAAGGAUGUCGGGAGUGUCACGAGAGAGCCCGUCACGAGGCGGCCAAGUGGGGAGAGGCCAGAGAGGAGGCUCGGCUUCUGCAGUACGCGGACCUUGCGGGUAUUGCGGAAAGCCAAACCACUCGGAGGACAAUUGCUGGAAGAAGGAAGGAAAAUGUUUGCGUUGUGGUAGUACAAACCAUCAGCUCGCUACUUGUCCAGUCCUAUCACGAGAUGGAAAGGGGAAUCAGCAAGCGACGAAGACUAAUUCCGAACCGGCCAAGGUGGAAGGGACCAAAUCUAAGGUAGCAGCUCGAGUUUAUUCAUUGGAACCACAACAGGUCCCCGAUUCUCCUGAAAUUGAGGAAGGUAUGAUUUUGGUAUUCCACCGAUUUGCGAAAAUCUGAGUAGAUCCCGAUGUUACUCAUUCAUUUGUCAACCCCAAUUUUGAUGGACGAAAUAGAUACCACGCCUGCUUGUCUACCCUACGACCUGAAAGUAGUAUUCUUAUGGGGAAUCAUCGUUUGAGCAUUGGUAUGGUUUGUAAGGAUCGCAGCGUUUGGGUAGGAGAGAGAAUAGUGUCCACGCGGAAAAAAAAGGGUGGAAAAAAAAUUAUGGGAUAGAAAAGGCUACCUGGGAGGUGAAAAAGGAAUACCCUGAACUGUUUGUGAACCAAGGUGAGAAUUUUCGAGGACGAAAUUCUUUUAAGGGGGAGAGAGUGUGAGAACCCGUAAUUCUCCCAUUUUCUAGGUUCUAGAAUCUUUCAUGGCUUGUUUUCUGCAUUUUCUUGCUUAGGAAAAUUUCUAGAUAAUUUUAAGGAGCAGAUAUAAUUUUUUAGAUGAUUUUUCUAGUAUCGAAUAGUUUUUGAGAAAUGAAGAGCGUGUACCGGACGUAGGACCCACUAGUGCGAAAAGUUCGGAAAAAGUCGGCCAACUAGGUUAAGUUUUGAAUACUGGAAUUAAUUUACCGGGUGUUAAGAGAUAAGUAGAGGGUGCUAAGUGGAUUGGUAUAAGAGAGACAACUUAGGUAAGUAUUUAAUAAAAGGUGACAAGUGUCACCAUUUGAGUGGGUUUACUUUAGGAAAACUAUUCAUGGUCUUACCAUUUGACUUAAAUAAACCAAAAAUGACCAAAAAUCAUAAAAAAAUACUCCAUAAGUGGCCGGCUCUCUCUUUCUCUCUUUCUCUCUCUCUUUCUCUAAGCACAAGGAAGAAAACUCUUCAAGCUUGCUUCAAAUCAUCAAAACCAACCAUUGAAACUUGCAAUUUCUCCAUAAAACCUCUUCAAUUAGUGUUAGUGAGUUGAUUUGUGGAGUUAUUUGGGAAGCUAGGAGGACCUAUUGCUCUCUCUCUCUUGUUUCUAAGGUGAGUUGUGAAGAACCACCCACCUCUCUUAAUUGAUGCUUAAAUCAUAAUUAGUGGUAGUAUGAGAUGCAAUAUUAUGGAUUAUUUCUUGAUUUGUGGUUGAAGUGAUGAAGUUUUAUUAUUUUUGGGGAUUUUUCUGUUUUAAUAUGAACAUGAUGGUGUGGAUAUCUAUGAUGAUUGGAAAUGGUAUAUAAUGACUCUGGGAGGUGGAAAAAGUGAUUAAUUGCAACCAAUUUCUGGUUUGGAAGAAAUUUCAGAAAAUUAGGGUUUGAGUGGGAACAUUCUGCCCGAAUUUAUAGCUCCUAGUUAGAGGCCGAAUUGGCCUUGACUUAAAACAUGAAAGUUGUAGGGAAUGACAUUUUAGAGGUGCCUACAAAAUUUCAGGUCAAUCAGAGUAGUGUAGAAUGAGAAAAGUUGAAACUACUAUUGCUGUUCUGGUUUUAUCCGAAUGUAAGAAUUGCGCCUGUAAUUGAUUGUUUUGGUUAGGAAUACUUCCGAAUUGGUUGUUGAGGCCUUCUGAUGAAAUGUAUCCCUAUUUCUUAGCUUUCAUCUGGUUUUGGAAUUUCUUGAUUUGGACUUGGAUAGCCUGAUUUAUGAUGUUUCCGCUAGAAUGCGUUCUGUGAAUCUGUUUUUGUGAUUCUGGUGUAGUAUUUUGCAUUUUUGACCUGGUUACACUCGAAACUGGGUUGAGUGACCUUCUGUAAUAUUGUAGACCUAUCUCUUAGCUUCGAAACAGUGGGUCUUACACCUUCAUCUGAUAAUCGUAGUGCCUUGGGUGCCAUUACCGUAAAAAGAGGUCAAAAACUGUUUUUUUCAGGGCAAAGCUAAUUCUAUUUCCGGAUUUUCUGGUUUCCUCUAUUGCUUGUGUAUGUUUAGGGAACCCUGUUUUGGUGGUAUGUAGAAUUGGUUUAUGACUUGUAAUCGAGUCUUAUUGUGUUUAUUUGAAUAGUUUAGGGCUUGACUUUCAUAUCCGGUCAUUUCCUAGCUAAAUUUUGUACUUGAAUGCCAUUAAGCCUAGUGAACGGCUUUUGGGAAUGAGAUUAUUUUUGUACGAACUGUUGGGACUGAUUUGAGGAAAUAAUGAAGCCAUGAUGGCUGGAAAAUAGGUAAACACAAGGGAUAUGCUGUCGAAAUUUUUCUUGAAGGCUAGUUGGAUUUACUUGUGAUUUGAACGAAGGGCUUUUGGGUUGUUUGAGCCUAGGUCUUCAUGUUACCUUUUCAUUACCAAAAAUCAUGUUUUGCACCCUUGCUUUAGUAAUUAUUUGGCGAGGCAUACGACUGGUAGUCGAGCCUCACAUGUGCAUUCUGUAUACUUGAUUUUGAAAGUGGAACCUUCAAUUGUUUUCCUUGGAUUAUUUUAGGGUUUCUUGGUAAUUAAAGCUCUCUUUUGGGAGGUAUCUGCACUGACCCUGGUGAGUGUACUACUCACUUGUGUGUUACUAUAUGGCUUUGAUACUUGAACUUGAUGAGUUAAAUGUUUAUUGUAUCAUUGAUAUUGAUUGAAGUGAGGGUGUACUUUAUCACUCUCACCUAUUUCUCAUGUUAUUGGAAUGUUACAAGAAAUGUUACAUGAAAUGAAAAGUACUUGACUUGGGGGCGUUUGGACGAGUAUCCAACGACCAUGCUUGUUACCAUUGAGCUCAACCCCAUUGGUAAUUGAUUGAAUCGGGCCGGCAAGGGCUUGGUCGUGACAAUUAAUGAGCCUUGGGUAAAGUUAUAAGGAAUCUUGUAGUAUGAGAGACUCUCGAUUCCGGUAUACUCGAGUAAUACCACAGUGCAAGUGUUUGGAGUUCGGGCCCGGUAGGGGGAUGUUAGGUGGAAGGAGUGGGAGUUAAGUGAAGUCUACGGUUGGUUACUUUUAAACAUUGACGGAGAGUCAAUGCGAAGAUGAUCUGAUCAAGAAUGCAAACGAGGAAAAAGGGCUCUUGAGAGCCGUCCGUAUCCUUUUAUCAUCAUUAUUGAUGUGUGUUUUAUUUACCUUUGAUGACUUGGAAUGAAAAGCUUGAUGCCUAUAUGAACUUGGUUGCUUGAGUAGUAUUAUCUCACUGGGCAACUAGCUCACCCCGUUCCUUUUGUUUUCCUUACAGGAAUCUGAGUGCUUAUGGAAUGACUUUUGAUAAUUGGUUGCCGAAUGAACUAGAUGAAUAUCUCUUUUGUAUAGUUUAUGAAUUGAAACCCUAAAUGUGCCAUUGGGGCCGUUUUCACUUUCAUUUUGGCAACCGUACAUGUAUAUUACUUUGGAGUAAUUUGCAUAUGCCAUUUUGGCUUGUAAACGCUAAAUUUCAAGAUGUGAAUGUUUGCUUGAUAUUUGGCUAGGCUGACGGGUCGGGUACUAUUCAUGGCCGACUCCGGAUUUCAUUUUUUUAUUUUGGGUUAUUUUGCCAGUUUGACUUGUUUACGUGCGUUAUAAAUUCCGGAACGCGAUAGACCGCUCUAAACUGCACCGUUAGUCCUGGCGAGAGCUGGGCGGGCAGUCCGCUAACCCCUUUGGUUCGCCUUAGGGGAAGGUGGGGCUGUCACAAAUACCUCCUGAAGCCAAGUAGAGAGACCCAAUCUUGAGUGAAAUAAAUACCGCGGCUUCGGUCUUUUUCAAUAAAAUCAUCACGCAGUAAAUCAACAAAGCCCAAAGUGAUACCUCUUUCCCCUUCAAGUUUACCUACUAUGGUACCGGCGUGAAAAUAAUCUCCACCAGACAUACGUAACGCUUUAGCUAGUACGUGGAAGUGCAUACCAUGAUUCUUCUGUCUAUCAAUAACCGCAUGCAUUGCGUGGUGGAUGUGAAGAAGUAGGCCAUUAUCUCGGCAAUAAUGGGCCAAGCUAGUAUUUGCAGUGAAUCCCCCUGUUAAGUAAUCAUGCAUUACGAUAGGAACUCCUAAUUCUCUAGCAAAUACAGCUCUUUUGAUCAUUUCUUCGCAUGUACCUGCAGUAGCAUUCAAGUAAUGCCCUUUGAUUUCACCUGUUUCAGCCUGUGCUUUAUAAAGCGCUUCCCGAUUCCCAACAGAUUUACUAUUUUUUCCCAGAUAUCCAAGGCAAAAUGGUUUUCUAAAUUUGAUUUAAAAUCUGGAUUCUGGCAAUUGGGAAUUCAUCCUGAAGAUAGGCAUAAGACUGGAUUUUGUAUUCCGAAUCAUCAUUUCCAAUAGAAGGUGAUGCCUUUUGGCCUGAAAACUGCACCUUCUCUUUUCCAAAAAGCGAUGAUAAGGAUAUUUCAGCCUAUCUUACAUUCCGCACUUGUUUACAUUGAUGAUAUUCUUCUUUUCAGUAAUACUUUUGAAGAACAUCUUGAGUUGCUUAAAGAUUUUCAUCAUCUUGUUAAGCAAUAUGGGAUAAUGCUUUCUGAAAAGAAAAUGUUUUUAGCUCAGCAAGAAAUUUCAUUCCUAGGCAUGAAAAUUGCUAAAGGAAAAUGCACUCCUGAACAGCAUGUUGGACAAUCCAUUAAGGAUUUCCCUGAAGAAAAUCUUUCCAAAACCCAGGUCCAACAAUUUCUUGGUGUUGUUAAUUAUGUCCGGGAAUUUAUUCCCAAAGUUUCUAAGCACAUUAGUCCUUUGACUAAAAUGCUUAAAAAGAAACCUCCACCAUGGGGUGUUUCACAAACCCAAGCAAUCCAAAUCCUCAAGAAGGCACUCCAAGAUCUUCCUACACUUCAUAUUCCAUCAGAUGGGAAAAAGAUCUUACAAACAGAUGCCAGUGAUAAAUAUUGGGGAGCUGUACUACUUGAAGAAGAUGAACAGGGAACAAAGCAUUGUUGUGGAUUUGCUAGUGGAAAAUUCAAGGUUUCUGAACAACAUUAUCAUUCCACAUUCAAAGAAAUCCUUGCAGUCAAGAAUGGUAUAAAGAAAUUCUCUUUUUUCCUUAUAUCCCAUCAUUUCUUGGUUGAAAUGGAUAUGGGGUCAUUUCCUAAAAUGCUGCACUUUAAACAAAACACUGUCCCUAAUCCUCAGUUACUUAGAUGGUCAGCAUGGUUUUCCCAAUAUUCUUUUGAUGUCAAAAACAUAAAAGGGAAAAAGAACAUUGUUGCUGAUUUCUUCUCAAGGAAAGAACCUUUGCCUCAACAAGACCAACCUUGUUUCAUGUUCUCACCUGUUUGUUCUGAACCCCCAGAUAUUCACCAAAUUCCUCAUCCAUGGGAAAAGGAGGAUAUUGAAAGAAUCCGAAAUCAAUAUGAAUUAGAAAUAUUCAGUUCAUAUGGAGGAUCAAUCUUAAAUCCCUUUGGAACUAAUCCUGAAUAUCCUUUCUGUCAAAUUUUCAUUGCCAAACAUGAUGAUUUUCCAAAAUCAUUAUUAUGGUAUUUUUGGUGUCUUUGCCAUCAAUAUCAUAUUCUUAUGGAAUUUCAAUCACCUUUCUUUAAUCAGCCAUUAAAUCCAAACCUUCAAGUUUUCCUGCAAUGGUUUCGACCAUUAACAUAUUGGUCUGGAUUAUUUUCAACUCAGUCUAAAUAUGUUAUUUUCCAUUUCCAUAGACCUUGCAAUCUGCAAAAUAACCAAGUCCAAUCCUGUCCAAGUGCAGUAAUUUAUAAAGAAAUGGAUCAUACUAUUUUAGACCUUGAUGAUGAGUAUGAGGAAGCACAGAGAUACAUAUUUCAGGAAAACAGAUGCAUUCCUCCUGAAAUAUGGCCUGGUCACUAUGGAUCGUGGAACUACCACUCAAGUCAUCCUCAUUGGACCAGAAUCAAACGAGCAAAGAAGGAGUAUCAGGACAAAAUGAAUGACACUGUAAUACAAGAUUCCCAAGACCCUUAUCAUAACACAGGAUCAUCACAGGAUUUUCCAACAUCCUCAACAGUUUCUUCCUAUCAGUUCAAAACUCGAUCAGAAUGGAAAAGCAUUGAAAAUAAAAGGAAGAAUGCACGAGCACAUCAAUAUCACAAUGAAAUGCUUAACAUCACAGAUCCAGCCACUACUCCAUCGGACACCCCAGAGGAUGAUUACCAGUGGGCAUGGAAUGAUGUUGACAUGGAAGGGUCCCCAUAAGAAGAGUCGUGUGUUAUUUACUUUUCCGAAGAGUCGUGUGUUGUUUACUUUUCCGAAGAGUCGUGUGUUAUUUACUUUUCCGAAGAGUCGUGUGUUGUUUACUUUUCCGAAGAGUCGUGUGUUGUUUACUUUUCCGAAGAGUCGUUUCUCCUAAAGGGCCAAAUUCUAUUUCUAUAAAUAGAGGCCAGUCUUCAUUAGAACGGAUCAUCGAGGAAAAGACCAAUAAAAUUCCAAGUUUGCUUCUAUCCUUAUGGAAUUCUAAGUUUCAAAUUUCACCAGGGAAGGCCGAGAGAUCCUCAUAACUGUGUGAUUGUUUAGAUGUCCAUAGCUUUGCCAUAAGUUGUUCUUGUGAUAAAAGAUUCCUUGAACUCUUGAAGGCCCAAAGGAAAGAGGCUGUUGUGUUCUGUAUUUGGUAUCAAAGAGCAAGUUAUGGUCCUGAUAUGGUAUCUAAGCAGACACUCUGGUAUUUGGUAUCAGAGCCAAAGUUUAAGAGGCUGGUAGCAGGAAAAUAUUAAGAGGCUGGUAAUUGAUUACCAAUCUCAUUUUUCCCCUUACCUGUUCAGAUCUUUUGUUGACAUAAAAUGCUUGGCAUGCCCAUUGAGAAUGAGAAAUCUCAAUUAGUCCAAACUUCAAAAGUUCUUGGCAUUCUUGUUCUGCAAGCUUUGUGUCAUUAGGAUUCAUUCCAGAAUGACUAGCUUUUGUGGGAUUGAUAUCCUCAUUUUUCUUAAAAUGUAGGCGGAUAAAAAACUCAGAAUUUUCCCACAAAGGAUGAUCACAUUUUUGUAAAAACUCUUGAUGAUUUGUGGAGCAUGAUUCUUGAAUGAUCUGCUUUUGAAACUGCUGGAGUUGAUCCAGUUGAACAUUUUCUUCUUGUAUCAAAUACAGCUUUGGGAUUUCAAUAAAAGGUUUAAAAAACUUUGGGAUUUCAAUAAACUUUGUUUCUUUUUCUUUAUUGAGGAUAAAAUCAGCUAGAGUGGAUGGAUCAGAAGGCAAGAUAUACUUAAGUUCUUGAAGUCUUUUUUCAAAAACUUCAAUCAUGUGAGAAACCUGAAACUGCUGGAGUUGAUCCAGUUGAACAUUUUCUUCUUGUAUCAAAUACAGCUUUGGGAUUUCAAUAAAAGGUUUAAAAAACUUUUUUGAUUUUAUCCCAUUUCCUGUAAUAAGAUACUUGUUUUGUUUGUAAAGAUCAAAUCCUAAUAACAAGUCCUUACCAGUAAAAUUUGCUCCCAGAAAUUUUGAACUUACACAGCAAUCAGGGAGAAGUUUGAGAGUGAUGGGAUUUUUUGUUACAAAUCUUGUUUCAAAGAGAUUUCCAUCAGCUCCUCUAAACUUGUUUACUUCUGGAAUCCAAUAUGAGUCUGGGAAGAUAUCUUUCCUCAUAAUGGAAGUAUGGGCUCCUGUAUCAAAAAAUGCAAUAAGAGGUAUGGGUUUAGAAUAUUUAUCCAAUAAGAUAUGAAUAAGGGUUUGUGGAUAAACUUCUUCCGCAUUUUCCUCUUUAUUUGCUAAAGUGAUAGGUCCUAUGCUUAGAAUUUCCUCAGGGACCUGUAAAGCCAAAAGAGUAAUGUCAGUUGGCUCCUCUUGUUCAGAGAAUUCAGAUUCUAAAUCAGAUAUGGGAAAAUGAAGUUCAUUUUGAAUUUCAGAAAUUAAUUUUACUCCCUUCUGAUUCUGAGGACAAUUUUUUGCAAAAUGUCCAGGCUUUCCACAGAUAAAACAUUUGUUGCCUUUUGUGCCUCUGAACCUUUUAGACUUUCGUCUAAAAUAUCUCCAUUUCUUUCUGAAAGAUUUUCUUGGAAAAUUCUUAUAGGUCUUGGUAAAGCUUUUGAACUUUUUGAAUCUUCUGGAUCCUUUUCUUCUCUGGGAUGGAGUACAGGCUUGGCACUUUCCCUUGGUUAUUAGCUCUGGCUUUUUGCAGGCUUGGUCCAAACAAACAUCUCCUUUUAGAUAUUCUCGAAUAACUUUCCUCUUAUGACAAAGGUCAUCAAGAGAUAGGAAAACUGCUUGUUUGAUUUGGCCAAUGGUGAGAUUUAAAACUGAUCCAUACUUAUUAUGGAUAUACAUUUCUGCACCAUCUGCAAGUGGCUUGGGAAGGGAACUGAUAAACGGCUGUUUGAGAUUAAUAUCUGCACCAAGAGAGUAGAAUAAUUUAAUCAUUUUUUUUUAAAUGUUUAUUUAGAUCUCGUCGAUCAUAAGAUAAACAUUUUAUUUGAAAGAAUUCUUUUCUUUUUGCUUCCUGGAAUUCUCGGACAUUUCCAAGAAAUGUGAGAUGGAGAAUAUGAAUAUUUUCCAGGAAAUCUUGUUUGGUUAAAAAGAGCAUUUUAUCUGCAUCUCCAAUGGUUGUCCACCAAUCCUUGAGGAUUCCAGCCAGAUGAGCUGUAAAAAUUGAUAAAAUUUCAAAGUGAGAUUCUUCUGUUAAAUUUUGGGCAAGCAUCCAAGCAUGAAAUUCAUGGAACCUUGCUUCCCACUUUUCAGGUGGAAUGUUAUCAAUUGUAAACAGAGGUACUCCCUUUGAUUUUGGAAAAGUAGCUCGCUGGGUUCGAUCAAAUGAUGUUUCUCCUUCCUCCUCAUUGUCAUCAGGCUCAACCACUUCUGGUUCUGGAUCUGCCAUAUGAAUCUGAGGGGUACUUUCUUCGUCGGAUGAGGAUUCUAAAGUAUCAGUUGUUGAUAUUGUAUCAUCAUCUGAAGAAUUUGAAAGACUUCUAUCUUCGGAGCCUGUGUCUUUAGAGGAAUUAUCAUGAAAUUCAGUGUAGGUUGAAAUAUAUGGAACUGAAUCUUCAUGAAGUUCAUCUAGCACUGUUGACAAGGGAUUAUCAUAUACCCUACUAGCUUCAUUUGCUUUCCUUUCCUGUUCAACAGAAAAAAUUGGAUUAGUAUAGGUACUAAACAUUAAUGAAGCCGGAGGUUCUUGUUGAGAAGAUGACGGCUGUUCAAUGGCAGAUUGUUUGGCUUUUCUUUCCCUUUCAGCUUCAGCCUUUCUCUGUUCUUUUUCAGCCAUUUUCUUUGCUAUUUCAGCAUCCUUUUGAAUUUGUUUAUUUUUACGAUAUUCUCGUAAAGUUGCUGCAAUAUCAAAAGGUUUGGUAACCUGUGGCUGUGGUGUUGAAAAGUAAAGAGAUGGUGAUGGAGUUGUAACUUCACCGAAAUAGAAAGGUGUCGGCCAAUUUUGAAGUGGUACUGCACCAUACAUGGGACCUACCUUAAAAAGAGGUGUGGAAGACCCUACAUCAUAUGUAGGAACUUGUCCUGUGGUUUUCAGAACAUGUAGCUGAUCUUGAAUAAACUUUGUUUCUUUUUCUUUAUUGAGGAUAAAAUCAGCUAGAGUGGAUGGAUCAGAAGGCAAGAUAUACUUAAGUUCUUGAAGUCUUUUUUCAAAAACUUCAAUCAUGUGAGAAACCUGAGAUUGUUGAGUUGAUACAGUGGUAUCAAUUUGUUCAAUCUUAUCUUUGGCUUCUGAGAUGUUCUUAUGAAUGGAUAUCAGGGCAGUGUUUUGAACCAGAGAGUUCUCAGUUUGCCAAUUUAGAACAUCUUCUGUGGGAUUUGGGCGAACAGUUUCUCCACUUGGUAAAACUGUUGAAGAAGUAUUUUGGAUUUUUGGAGUGUGUCUAGCACCAUUCUUAUUGAAAGUUUCCAACUUUGGAAAAUCUGCUUCACUGAACAUAAAGCAUUCUUGAACAUGAGAAGUUGGAAUUCGAAGUAUUGGUUCAGAUUUACAGAAUGGUUGAAGAGUCCAUUCCUUUUUGGAUUCUUGUGCUUCUUUGUCCAAAAUAUCAAGACACGUUUGGUAAUAAGGAUGAAGAUCCUUUUUUGAAUAUGAAUUAGGUGUCUGAGAAAUUUUUUGAAUCCAAUCAGAAGGAAUUUGAUAACCAUUAAACUGGAUUCUUUGAGAUGAAAAAGUAUCAGUGUCUGGAUCUCGUCGAUCAUAAGAUAAACAUUUUAUUUG